UACGUAGGAGGCGAGCGUUGUCCGGAGUUACUGGGUGUAAAGGGUUCGUAGGCGGUGCGGCAAGUUGGGAGUGAAAUCUCUGGGCUUAACCCAGAGACGGCUUCCAAAACUGCUGUGCUUGAGUGUGGGAGAGGCUCGUGGAAUUGCAGGUGUAGCGGUGAAAUGCGCAGAUAUCAGGAAGAACACCCGUGGCGAAAGCGGCUCUCUGGGACGGUACUGACGCUGAGACGCGAAAGCGUGGGGAGCGAACAGG
rnacentral:rRNA from 1 species